rnacentral:misc_RNA from 1 species
GAAGAAUUGGAACUGAUGGACAAUGUCCUGCCAGCCAAAUAUGAGGAAGCUAGAGAGGAAGAGAAGUUGCGUUCUCAGAGAGAAGAUUUCAGUGACAUGGUAGCCGAGAAUGAGAGGAAGAAGAAGCGCAAAUUACAGGAAAAAGAUGGUAAGUCGAAGAAGAAAGAUUUCAAGUUUUGAGGCGAAUUUAGUGUUUCCAUCUUGCAAAGUUUAUCAAAACACAUAAAACGAAACAUAAACUAUAUCUUAUUAUCAACCUUUUAUAUAUAUAAAUUAUGUCACAACAUUUUUCAUUUUUGUUUUCACCAAGUUUACUA